ACAUAUACUUGAAGAAAACAAAUAUCAAAAAGCAAACUCUCAUUUGAUUGGGUCUUGUUGGAAAAGAAAAAAAAUUAUAUCCAGGACAACAUCUCUCUCUUAAAACUAGUUUAUUGCACAUCCCAAAUGUCUCUUAUUUCUUAUCUGAUGUGAAACUAAAGCAUCUUAGUUAUCCUUUUAGAGUGUUAGCAUUGCAAGUUUUGCUAGUUGUAUUUAGCUCAGAAGGAAUGGUGAUUAGAUAGGAUUCCGGGGAGUUGGAUACAGCAGUCGAAAUGAUGGAACCGACUUUGUUGCAACAGAUUCACUAUUUCUACGUGCUUGUCUCUUCCUAAUCACUAGGAAGGAGUUGGGUACAUUAUUUGCCAUUAACACUCUCUUCUGAUCAUUAGAGACAGGCAAAAUGGGGAAAAAGACCCAUCAAGUUUUUAUUAUUGAGAAGCUUCUCAAAUGGUUGACUGAUCAAAUAAAAGAAAGGGAACGUGGUGCAGAAUUGAAGAGGGAAAGAGAAGCAAAACAGAUGGGACCAGCUGCUGAAUACUUGCAUGUUUGAUUCUUCCAUCUUCAUUUUGUUUUCCUUUUUUCUUUUAGAGUAUGUUGGCUCAUGAUUGGAAUUCUGUUCAUAGAAUUUUAUAAUUUUAUAAUAUUAGGUAUUGUACGCAAGUAGAAGAAUUUGAUCAAAGGUUCCAA